AGUGAACGCUGGCGGUAGGCCUAACACAUGCAAGUCGAACGGCAGCACAGUAAGAGCUUGCUCUUACGGGUGGCGAGUGGCGGACGGGUGAGGCAUACAUCGGAAUCUACUUUUUCGUGGGGGAUAUCGUAGGGAAACUUACGCUAAUACCGCAUACGACCUACGGGUGAAAGCAGGGGAUCUUCGGACCUUGCGCGAUUGAAUGAGCCGAUGUCGGAUUAGCUAGUUGGCGGGGUAAAGGCCCACCAAGGCGACGAUCCGUAGCUGGUCUGAGAGGAUGAUCAGCCACACUGGAACUGAGACACGGUCCAGACUCCUACGGGAGGCAGCAGUGGGGAAUAUUGGACAAUGGGCGCAAGCCUGAUCCAGCCAUACCGCGUGGGUGAAGAAGGCCUUCGGGUUGUAAAGCCCUGUUGUUGGGAAAGAAAAGCAGCAGGUUAAUACCCCGCUGUUCUGACGGUACCCAAAGAAUAAGCACCGGCUAACUUCGUG
rnacentral:rRNA from 1 species